rnacentral:rRNA from 1 species
AAUGCAGACAGUGGAUGCCUUGGUACAACCUACCUAAGAAGGACGUACAUGGUGACGAAACUCAGCGGGGAGCUGCCACGAAGCUUUGAUCCGUUGGUGUCCGAAUAGGGAAACCUACUCAUUUUGAGUACCUAAAUUUGAAAUGUCCCGACUUGUCGGGGCUACUAAAGUUUAGGAGGGAACCGCCCGAACUGAAACAUCUAAGUAGGGCGAGGAAGAGAAAACAAUCGUGAUUGCGUCAGUAGCGGCGAGCGAAAGCGCAUCAGCCUAAACUCCACUUUGCCUCGCAAGAGGCUUCGUGGAGGGUUGCGGGAGCCCAAUAUGGGAGUUGUCGCGGUAGCAGAACGGCAUGGAAUUGCCGACUAGAAAGAGUGAAAGUCUCGUAUGCAAAACCAAGAUGACCUCUAGGGAAUUCCCAAGUACCACGGAGCACAUACUCUGUGGGAAUCUAGGGGAACCAUCCUCUAAGGCUAAAUAUAGGUUGUGACCGAUAGUGAACUAGUACCGUGAGGGAAAGGUUAAAAGAAGGGUGAGACACCCAGUGAAAUAGAAACUGAAACUGUUUGCUAACAAGCCGAGAGAGCUUGUGCGUAGCACAAGGAAUUUCUAACUACUAAUUGACCUAAUUUCUAAUUAAAUCCCAAUUUAUUAAUUUGAGAAUUUAAGAAUUAUUUAGAAAUUAGAAAUUAAAAAUUUAGGAAUUUCUCGCGCUGCGCGCGAGUGAUCUCGUGCCUAUUGAAGAAUGAACCGGCGAGUUGUCUUAUUACACAAGUCUAACCCCGUAAACCGGGGGGAGGCGCAGCGAAAGCGAGUCUUAAAAGGCGAAAUAAGUGUGAUAUGACAGACCCGAAACCGAGUGAUCUAACCAUGGCCAGGGUGAACUUAAUCGAAAGAUUGAGGGAGGCCCGAACCCGUAGUCGUUGCAAUGACUUGGGAUGAGCUGUGGAUAGUGGCAAAAUACUAAUCGAACUCGGAGAUAGCUGGUUCUCCCCGAAAGGUCUAUAGGGACCGUCUCGCCUUUUCGGCUUAUGUUGUAGAGCACUGGAUGGAUUACCAACCGCAAGGGAGGCAGUCUAACCAAACUCCGAAGACAUAAGUCUAAUUAGGGCGGGAGACAGUCAUAUCGGGCUAAGCUGAUAUGGCGAGAGGGAAACAUCCCAGACUUUCGUCUAAGGCCUCUAAAUCUACCUUAAGUUUAAAAGGAAGUUAACUUUCAGAAACAGCCAGGAGGUUGGCUCAGAAGCAGCCACCCUUUAAAGAAAGCGUAACAGCUCACUGGUCGAUGAAGGUUAGCGCCCAAGAUGUAUCGAGGAUAAAGGUAGUGCCGAAGACAAAGAUUACGCCGCAAGGCGAUAGUGGUAGGGGAGCGUCCUAUGUGCAGUGAAGUUGACCCGUAAGGGUUGGUGGAGCGCAUGGGAGUGAGAAUGCCGGUAUGAGUAGCGCACAAUCCCAGUGAGAAUCUGGGACACCGAAUACCCGAGGUUUCCGUCGCAAGGUUCGUCCACGACGGGUUAGUCGGCACCUAAGGCGAGGCCAAUUGGCGUAGUCGAUGGGUGAGCAGUCAAAAUUCUGCUAUUUAGUUUAAAUCGUUACACCGCAAGGUGCAUGCGCAAGCAUGAUAGCUGGGGGCUGACGAAAAUGGAUGAGUAAGGCCAGGAGGUGAAGCCUGGUGUAAGCUGUUAAAUAGGGUUAGCUGGGAAAUCCGCUUUCCUGAUUAAUUGAGCAGUGAUGCAGAGUCCUAUGAAAGUGGGGCAAUUUUACUUUAUUCAAUUUCAGAUAAAAGGCUCGCAGUGAGAUUUAGAUUAAGCCGUACCGCAAACCGACACAGGUGGGUUGGUCGAGAAGACUAAGGUGAGCGAGAGAAGGAUGUUCCAGGAAUUCGGCAAAAAAGUUACCCGUAACUUUGGAAGAUGGGUUGCCCCGAUUAUAUCGGGGUUGCAACAAAAGUUUACUAGUCGGCUGUUUAUCAAAAACACAGGUCCCUGCGAAGCCGAAAGGCACGGUAUAGGGGCUGACGCCUGCCCAGUGCUGGUAAGUUAAGGGGAGGGGUCUUUAGGCCGCAAGGCUUUUAGGCUCUGAACUUAAGCUCCAGUAAACGGCAGCAGUAACUAUAACUGUUCUACGGUAGCGAAGUUCCUUGUCGGGUAAGUUCCGACCCGCACGAAUGGCGUCACGAGCUAGUAACUGUCUUGAACAUUCACUCGGCGAAAUUGCGUUGGCUGUGAAGACGCGGCCUAAUUCCACCAGGACAAAAAGACCCCGUGGAGCUUUACUGCAGUUUGGUAUUGCUUUCAUAUUUUUUGAUUGCCAAGAAUAGGAGGGAGAUUCGUCAACCGUGUGAUACCUCUCGUUAAAAAAUGUGAGGCUAACCUAGGUCGCCUGAAGACGGCGACAGGGAGAGUGCUAGACGGGCAGUUUUACUGGGGCGGUACCCUGCUAAAAAGUAACGCAGGGACACAAAGGUUGGCUUACCACGGAUGGAAAUCGUGGGGAAAGCGUAAAGGUUUAAGCCAGCUUGACUGCGACAUCGAAGGAUGGAGCAGGUACGAAAGUAGGUCUUAGUGAUCCUCCGAUGCACUUUGGGUGUGCACGGAGCUUAAUUGAUAAAAGCUACCCCGGGGAUAACAGAGUAGUCGCGCCCGAGAGUCCAUAUCGACGGCGCGGUUCGCUACCUCGAUGUCGGCUCAUCACAUCCUGGCGCUGGAGAAGGUGCCAAGGGUUGGUCUGUUCGCCCAUUAAAGUGGUACGUGAGCUGGGUUCAGAACGUCGUGAGACAGUUGACUUUGGUGACAUAUCAAAGUGACAAGUCCAAGCGGUCUCGCCCUUUAGACGUAUUGAAUAUACAUUGAGUGUGGAAUUAAAACUUUUUGUCCAUAAACACCUCGGAGUGAUAGCCCGGGGUCCCCGCGCGAAGCGUGG